UACGUAGGGGGCAAGCGUUGUCCGGAAUCAUUGGGCGUAAAGAGCGUGUAGGCGGCCCGAUAAGUCCGCUGUGAAAGUCCAGGGCUCAACCCUGGGAUGCCGGUGGAUACUGUCGGGCUCGAGUCCGGAAGAGGAGUGUGGAAUUCCUGGUGUAGCGGUGAAAUGCGCAGAUAUCAGGAGGAACACCAAUGGCGAAGGCGACUUUCUGGCUGCUAACUGACGCUGAGACGCGAAAGCUAGGGGAGCGAACGGG
rnacentral:rRNA from 1 species